UGACUUCUGCCUUGGUGCCUUAGAUCACUCUUCCUGGGGAAAGUUGGCAACUGUGCCAUGAGUGCACUCAAGCAGCCCUUUGAAGAAGCCCAUGUGGAGAAGAAUUGGGCUUCACAUCAACAGAUAGGACCAACUUGCAAACCAUGUUGGUUUGAACCAACUUCAAAGUAGAUUUUUCUGCCCCAGUCAAGCUUUCAGGUAUUGCCCCUUCAUGCCUAGGUGCAAGGAAGGAAACAGAAGAAGAUGCCAAGAACCAAAGAUGUAUGCUAGAUAAGCAUGCUAUAUUAUACUAAGGACACACUGCUUUCUGGGAAGAUCCUCCCUGUAGCCUCCUAAUAACAUCUUCUUGGCCAGGCUACCAGCAUUAAAACGGAGAUUGUGACAUCAAAUUUUCUGAGGACAUGGUCAUCCUGAAUAAAACUGAGGUUGUGCUGGUAAUGAAGAAGGGAAGGACCAGUAUUGGGCUCACACCUAGAAGCAACAAUCUCAGCACAUAAUCAGAAAAUCAAAUUGUGAAAAUGAUCACUGAGAACAUUCUUUGUCAGAGGUAUGAAUACAACAGAACAAACUUUUCUACACCAGUAGAAUAGAGAACCCUUUUCUCUGUCAGUUGAACACCUGUUGAAGUGUGGUUGAAGUAUUAUAAUACUGACAAUUUCAUUCACUGCCUUGAUGUGGCUCAGAGGGUCCCCAGGGUCUAGCAGUUCCUCACUUACCUGAUAUGCCUCCCGCUGAGCAGGAAACUCUCCUCACUCAGCUGGUUUCCCUGGCAGCUGGAGCAGCUACAGGCUACCUCAACCUUGCUGCUCUGCUUCCUGUAAUCUGGGAAAUUAUUCAACCUAGUCAGUUAUAUUCUCCUGCAGGAACCAAGGGCAUCUAUCUUCAUCCUCUAGAGCCUGCCUCCCACCAUCCCUACGUAUUCACUCUCCUCCCAAGUGAGACCCUUGUGGCCCUGCAAGGCCAGUAAUGUCCUCCUCGCCCUGCUGUGGGUGCAUGUGACUAAUAAACAGCUGUCAAUCUUAUUUGUCCAGA